rnacentral:snRNA from 1 species
UUACUUACCUGGAUGGGGUCAUAGAUGAUCAAGAAGGUCCAUGGCCUAGGUUAGUAACCUCCAUUGCACUUGUGAGGGGUGCUCGCCUAAGAUCUAUUUAAGUGGUGGAGUCUACAUCAUAAUUUGUGACAGGGGGAAUUGCGUUCGCGCAGUCCCCAC